rnacentral:rRNA from 1 species
UACGUAGGGGGCAAGCGUUAUCCGGAUUUACUGGGUGUAAAGGGAGCGUAGACGGCAGAGCAAGUCUGAAGUGAAAGCCCGCGGCCCAACUGCGGGACUGCUUUGGAAACUGCUCGGCUAGAGUGCUGGAGAGGUAAGCGGAAUUCCUAGUGUAGCGGUGAAAUGCGUAGAUAUUAGGAGGAACACCGGUGGCGAAAGCGGCUCUUUGGCCUGUAACUGACACUGAGGCCCGAAAGCGUGGGGAGCAAACAGG